UGCAAGUCGAACGAACUCUGGUAUUGAUUGGUGCUUGCAUCAUGAUUUACAUUUGAGUGAGUGGCGAACUGGUGAGUAACACGUGGGAAACCUGCCCAGAAGCGGGGGAUAACACCUGGAAACAGAUGCUAAUACCGCAUAACAACUUGGACCGCAUGGUCCGAGUUUGAAAGAUGGCUUCGGCUAUCACUUUUGGAUGGUCCCGCGGCGUAUUAGCUAGAUGGUGAGGUAACGGCUCACCAUGGCAAUGAUACGUAGCCGACCUGAGAGGGUAAUCGGCCACAUUGGGACUGAGACACGGCCCAAACUCCUACGGGAGGCAGCAGUAGGGAAUCUUCCACAAUGGACGAAAGUCUGAUGGAGCAACGCCGCGUGAGUGAAGAAGGGUUUCGGCUCGUAAAACUCUGUUGUUAAAGAAGAACAUAUCUGAGAGUAACUGUUCAGGUAUUGACGGUAUUUAACCAGAAAGCCACGGCUAACUACGUGCCAGCAGCCGCGGUAAUACGUAGGUGGCAAGCGUUGUCCGGAUUUAUUGGGCGUAAAGCGAGCGCAGGCGGUUUUUUAAGUCUGAUGUGAAAGCCUUCGGCUCAACCGAAGAAGUGCAUCGGAAACUGGGAAACUUGAGUGCAGAAGAGGACAGUGGAACUCCAUGUGUAGCGGUGAAAUGCGUAGAUAUAUGGAAGAACACCAGUGGCGAAGGCGGCUGUCUGGUCUGUAACUGACGCUGAGGCUCGAAAGUAUGGGUAGCAAACAGGAUUAGAUACCCUGGUAGUCCAUACCGUAAACGAUGAAUGCUAAGUGUUGGAGGGUUUCCGCCCUUCAGUGCUGCAGCUAACGCAUUAAGCAUUCCGCCUGGGGAGUACGGCCGCAAGGCUGAAACUCAAGGAAUUGACGGGGGCCCGCACAAGCGGUGGAGCAUGUGGUUUAAUUCGAAGCUACGCGAAGAACCUUACCAGGUCUUGACAUACUAUGCAAAUCUAAGAGAUUAGACGUUCCCUUCGGGGACAUGGAUACAGGUGGUGCAUGGUUGUCGUCAGCUCGUGUCGUGAGAUGUUGGGUUAAGUCCCGCAACGAGCGCAACCCUUAUUAUCAGUUGCCAGCAUUAAGUUGGGCACUCUGGUGAGACUGCCGGUGACAAACCGGAGGAAGGUGGGGAUGACGUCAAAUCAUCAUGCCCCUUAUGACCUGGGCUACACACGUGCUACAAUGGAUGGUACAACGAGUUGCGAACUCGCGAGAGUAAGCUAAUCUCUUAAAGCCAUUCUCAGUUCGGAUUGUAGGCUGCAACUCGCCUACAUGAAGUCGGAAUCGCUAGUAAUCGCGGAUCAGCAUGCCGCGGUGAAUACGUUCCCGGGCCUUGUACACACCGCCCGUCACACCAUGAGAGUUUGUAACACCCAAAGUCGGUGGGGUAACCUUUUAGGAACCAGCCGCCUAAG
rnacentral:rRNA from 1 species